GUGUUUCAAGAACUCAAUUUCCUGCAGUUCAAUUUAGUAGGGCUAUCAACGAUCUUCGGUUUUUCCAGCAGAGUGUGCAACACUCAUAAUCUCCGAUUAUCAUGAAAAUGGCGGCCGACCGUAUGCUGAGGAUUUUUCUACUGCUUUCGUGCAUCAGUAUUUGCGCUGUAUCAUGUUAUCGCCCCAUAAAUAUAAAUUUCCGCCGGGUUGCCACUAGUAGUCGUUUACAGGCGUCAGAGACGCCUAAGCAGGAAGAGAAAUUGGAUAAUAAUGAUCAUGGCAACAAUAGUCGUUUUGCAUAUCAUAAAAGUUAUGGUCCGAUUUUUGGACAGCCGCUGCAGCGAGAUUACCAAGUUAUUACGAUUAUUACGAUGAUAGUUCAGAAAUAUCUAUGUAAACAUCUCCUCGCAAUUAGUGGAUUAAUAUAAAUGCCAUGAAAAUCUAAGAAAAUUGGGUUUUAAUAUUAAAUGAUAAGAUUUUUUAAUGAACCUUUGAAUUUUCUACAUUUUCAGUUUUCCCAAUGUAAGAUGGCUCUGAAAAUUGAGAAUUAUUAUAGUAUAUUUGAGAAAUUAAUUAAUUAAUCAAUAAGACGGAAAAUGUUAAGAAGAAUUGACAUGACUGUUUAUAGAGGUUGCAUUAUACGUCGAGAGAAGAGGGACUUGUUCCCAGAACAAAUUGAUGAUUCUAAAUAAAACCAAUUUAUUAUCGAA